CCUGAGAAACCCAAAAGAUCGAAUGGGGAGAUUCAUCGUCAGCUCAUUUUGUAUGUACAUAGGUUACGAUGUGAGUUACCACCUCGUGCGGUAUUGCUUGUACGUACUUAUGUGUUUAUUUGCAAGAUGUUGUCGGCGUGCACUUCUCCCCUAGUAGAACAUCGCGACCCGUUGGGUGUCGGUUUAAACGCCAAUAUGGUAGCCUUUAAUGUUUAAUAACAUUAAAGACUUUUGGUAUAUACUGACCGGCUGCCCGGCGGUACUCGUAUGGUAUUUAGCCGCAUUUUUUAUUAUGCGUCCAUUGCCGUCGCAAGUGAGGCUAAUUUUUUGCAGUACGUACAGUUGUCCGUCGCAGAAAUUGGCCAGCUGUUGGCUGUACGGCACUCUAGGACAGGCUAAAAMAAAAUCACGUAUAUACCGGUCGGCGAUGCUACUGCUUUGGGUACUUUCAGGACCCGUCUUGAAACACGGACCAAGGAGUCUAACAUGUACGCGAGUUAUUGGGAUAUUUUGUUAAUUAAACCUAAAGGCGUAAUGAAAGUAAAAGUCGUCCUUGCGUCGACUGAGGGAGGAUAAGUUGUGUUAUAAUAUACAAUUUCGCACUCCCGGGGCGUCUCAUUCUCAUUAUGAGAAGAGGCGCACCUAG
rnacentral:rRNA from 1 species